GGAAAAUGAUCUGAACUUGGAGUUAGAAAGAAGUUCAAGUCUCAUCUGUGAAUUUUAGUUUUAUUUCAUCCUUCUUACUCUUUAGAAUUCUAGCAAUCAGGAAUGUAUACACCCCCACUUAAGGAUUAAGUGUAGGGGAGGAUGGUCAGUGACCUGUGUGUGCUAGCAAGUGACAAAUCAGAAACAACUGACUGACCUCCUGGGAUAACCUAAGCCAAGUUUAAGCCUCCAUGGUACAUGUGAGACACAGGAAGUGAUGUAAAGAAUGGCCUUUAUAUUUCCUAUCACUUCCUGUGAGGGGGACUUUUGUGGACUUGGGUGGUGGAAUUUUACAUGGAAGAGCUCUGAAGUAUGGGCCUAGGUGAAAUGACUUCCCUGAACAGCCACGGCCAAGUUAAAUUUAAUCUUCUGGGAAGGCCCCUUGACUGAGAGGCCUCUGAACUCAUACUGGCUCAGGAAAAGAACAUGUUCUUUUGGGUAGAGAUGUGAAAGGGGGUCUACUUUCUGAACCAUGCAGCAAAUUAAUUCAACUACCAAUAAGCUAUGGCCUCUGUGAAGAUAACAAUUCAGAAAAUUUCUUGGCUUUCAGGUAUGUGACAUUUUUCUUAAGUGAGCUUCCUCAUAACUUUCGAAAUAACCAACUUCACUCUUAUGCCUCAACUUUUUGACAAGUAAUGGAUGUCAUUUGCUCAAAGUUUUUCUUUACUAUUAUGAGAUAUCUUGUAAUAUGGAAAAGUAUUAGGAGAAACAUUUGUGUCUGCUCCUGUGGCUCAACUUAAGUUGGAAGAUGAAAUAGAAAACUUAUUUUUCUCAAUUCCAAGAAAAAUUUUUAUCAAAAAUUUAUUUUUAAUUUUGAGUUCCAAAUUCUAUCACUUUUCUCUUUCUCCCCUCCUCCUUGAGAAAAUAAGCAGGCUGAUUUAGGUUAUAUGUGCCAUGCAAAACUUAUUUCCAUAUUAGUCAUGUUGCAAAAUAAAACAUAGUCCAAAACAAAAACCCA
rnacentral:lncRNA from 1 species